rnacentral:lncRNA from 1 species
CAACGGUUCAUGAUGACUUGUGCAUCACACUUCUGAAAUGAUUAUCAAGGUUGUUUCCAUAUCAUGGGAAAGGAAUUCGGUCACGUGUUGCCUAUGCCCAGAUUGGAUCCACUGUAAAUUAUGUUGAUUUCGCUCUUUCUUACAAUUUGUGGUUGUCUUGCAGGUUGGAAUAUCGGGUCAGUUUUGUUCCUAAUGUUAGCUUAAUUAACCCAUAGAGUGGAUGUGAAUGACCCCAUGACAGGGAUACUGCCAUGCUAUUUUUGUACCAUUUGUCUGCAAUAUUUGACUUGAUGUAGGCUAGGAUUGGCUUCUGCAGGUUUUUGUUACAAUCUUCACG